GGAUUUGAUGACAUGUUUUUUUGACACCCAGUCUUAGUUGCUCCUUUGGUGCACUCUGGUGAUAGAUAAAACAUUCUGAUCC